GACGAACGCUGGCGGCGUGCCUAAUACAUGCAAGUAGAACGCUGAAGGAGGAGCUUGCUUCUCUGGAUGAGUUGCGAACGGGUGAGUAACGCGUAGGUAACCUGCCUGGUAGCGGGGGAUAACUAUUGGAAACGAUAGCUAAUACCGCAUAAUAGCACUUGUUGCAUGAUAACUGUUUGAAAGUUGCAAUAGCACCACUACCAGAUGGACCUGCGUUGUAUUAGCUAGUUGGUGGGGUAACGGCUCACCAAGGCGACGAUACAUAGCCGACCUGAGACGGUGAGCUGCCACACUGGGACUGAGACACGGCCCAGACUCCUACGGGAGGCAGCAGUAGGGAAUCUUCGGCAAUGGACGGAAGUCUGACCGAGCAACGCCGCGUGAGUGAAGAAGGUUUUCGGAUCGUAAAGCUCUGUUGUAAGAGAAGAACGAGUGUGAGAGUGGAAAGUUCACACUGUGACGGUAUCUGACCAGAAAGGGACGGCUAACUACGUG
rnacentral:rRNA from 1 species